GUAGGUGGCAAGCGUUGUCCGGAAUUAUUGGGCGUAAAGCGCGCGCAAACAAUUCUUUAAAUCUGAUGUGAAAGCCCACGGCUCAACCGUGGAGGGUCAUUGGAAACUGGAGAACUUGAGUACAGAAGAGGAAAGCGGAAUUCCACGUGUAGCGGUGAAAUGCGUAGAGAUGUGGAGGAACACCAGUGGCGAAGGCGGCUUUCUGGUCUGUAACUGACGCUGAGGCGCGAAAGCGUGGGGGAGCAAACAGGAUUAGAUACCCUGGUAGUCCACGCCGUAAACGAUGAGUGCUAAGUGUUAGGGGGUUUCCGCCCCUUAGUGCUGCAGCUAACGCAUUAAGCACUCCGCCUGGGAGUACGGCCGCAAGGCUG
rnacentral:rRNA from 1 species